UACGGGGGGAGCAAGCGUUGUUCGGAUUUACUGGGCGUAAAGGGCGCGUAGGCGGCCACCGCAAGUCGACUGUGAAAUCUCCGGGCUUAACCCGGAAAGGUCAGCCGAUACUGCGGGGCUAGAGUGCAGAAGGGGCAACUGGAAUUCUCGGUGUAGCGGUGAAAUGCGUAGAUAUCGAGAGGAACACCUGCGGCGAAGGCGGGUUGCUGGCUGAUACUGACGCUGAGGCGCGAAGCCAGGGAGCGAACGG
rnacentral:rRNA from 1 species